UUGACAUCUGCUAAUCACAAAAGACUGUUUCCCAGACUCUAAGUGCAUUGAUUCAUUAGUAGGAAGCAUGUAUUUUUAUUUCCACAUCUACUUGAUUAGAGGCAACCUGAGGUUCUGCAGCGCGGUGACCUUCUGCCUCCCUGCAGCACAGAGAGGAGAGAAAACAGGAGAAAAAGUAUUCAGUUUUAAAGUGGCCUUGACAGGUCUGACUUUCAAAAGGAAGAAAAAGCACUUGCCUGAUGAAAUGCUGCAGGAGAGGGAAAGAACAAAGCAUAUGGUGUUCUUUUAUUUAAAUCCUCGUUUUACCAAAACAGAAAACUCAGCAAGACAAAAAAGGAUUUCUGGAAAGAGACCACAUAGAGGGAAGAAGAAAGCUUCCACGCCGGCAACCCCCUCGCCCUCCUCAUCCUGACAGGAUGCAACCAACAAAAUAUGAUGCUCACUAUUCGCACUUGUUCCCCAAGUCAUAUAAAAGCCAUCAAGGAUACUGUACCUUUGAAGUAUCAUAGACCAGGGGCAGCUUUAAUGGUGUGAAAUGUGCCACAGUGCAGUUACACCCUCCGUGAUAUACAGACCUGUCGGGAAAAAUCACCCAAAUCAGGUCAGUUUUGCUCUCAAGGCAAAUGGACAACUCUGUCCCAGACAGAUUUAAUCAGCGCCUGAUUUACAACCUCUAACCGCUUAAUGUCCCACUGCCACGCUCACAUCAUACCCUCAUUUGUUUCCCUAUCAGAGAGCCACAAUAAAUCUGAAGAAAAAAAGAGCAUUUUUUUUUAUUGAAGGGCUUUUCUGCUCUGCUCUCAGCUCGCUUACAAAACAUAAUGGCCUUGAAAUGGGCAACCGAGGAGAUAGCAAAAAGCAAAGUAAUAUCAUUCUGCCAAACAUUGCCCUGUAACUGCACAUACAAAACAAUGUGAUUGUGUUAUAGCGUAUGCACCUGGAUUUGAUGUCUGAUAGCCCACAGUUGCUCAUGCACAGAAAGCCCAAAACAUCCAAAUGAUUACACAGCAGCCACUUUAGCUGGACGACUGGAAAUUACUUUGACGUUUGUUUUGUAUUCUUUUAUAAUUUGGACUCUGUGAACCAGAAAGAAUCACAUGAAUCCUGCAGAUCAGCUCACAGAAAAUCCAACAGGUGCAAUUUAAAGCCUCUGAACAGCUAAAUGGAGCAUGCAGUGAGUUUGUUUUUCCAACCGCUGUUUUCGUGCUCAAAGAUGAACUUUGACCCUCAGUUUUUCAGUCGACAUGGAGAACAAGCUCUGAAAAAAGACACAUUUAGAUCUCCACGACAACAACUGGGAGCUUUGGAAGCGACAGAAUAUGUCCUGGUGCUUCGUUGACGAAAUGAUUCAACAAAUUAAGAAAUGUUUAAAUGUUCUUUCCAGACAAGAAUAUAAUGAAAGGUUUGCCACGAUAACAUAUUUGAAUGGACAGAGAUAAGUUAAAAUCUGAUCCAAAGAAACCUAAUAAAAGCAGACUGACGGUUAGCUUAACCUAGCAUAGGGACCAGAAACAGGAGGAGCUUAGUGGAGUUGGGGCUCCAAAAAGCAAACAUGUUAAAAGUGUGGAUAUACUCACUUACCAGCACCCUCUGUUGACGGGCUGCAGUAUAGGUCAUAAAUCCCGCCUCCUUCAGCAAUCCCUAUGGAGUUGUGGACAAACUUUAGAAAUUAAUGACACAGAAUAUAAUUUUUUCUCCACCCUGGUUGCGAUGUUGACAUGUAGUUACAGUAAGACUGGUUUGUGCUCAAGUCCUCUUUUUUUCUGUACAGCUCUGUUUUUAAAAGUUAUCAGGGGGUUCAUGUUUUCUAUGAUUGACACCUGAUACAGCCUUUGGGCGUACCAAGAUUGCGUAGCUCACCUGGGGGAUACGUUGUUUGAGCGACUCUCCCGCCAAAUGUGUACAAUGCUACUGCGCAAGUGGUGGUUCCAGAAAGUGGAGAAAAUUGGCUGUAAAUUAGUAUAAUGACGGAAGGCGGAGCCAAGUUGUUCAUAGUAUAUGCAGUCUAUGCUCUGCACCUUUUGCCAUGCAAUAUCUUCAUCAUGUUUACUUCCUUGCUCCUUAUGUUGAGGUUUUCUUUACCACCUGGCUUCCCUCUGGCAUUUAUACUGUUUGUCACAGCCUGAUAUGUGAAAUGUGGAGCUUGUGCAGAUUGCCACAGCCAGUUUAGGCCCACCUGUUGUGUUCACAAGCAAGAGAAAACAAUUGCAUUAGCGAGAUAUCAGUCUGGUAACCAUAAAAUUUCAGUUGUACUUAUUAUUAUGGAUUAUUUUAACAUCAUGUAAACAUACUACUACUAAUAUUCUGAUGUGUUAAAAUGUUUGUACAGUUUCAUCUUGAUUUCAUUCAAUGAUGAUGAGAAGUUAGUCGAGUUUCACCCCCACAUUCUUCAUGUUUUUAUUAGUAAACUCUGUGGCUCAUGCUCCCAGAUGGGUUUAUCAACAUUGCUCUCACUCACACUCACACACCCCUGAUUUAUAUGAAAAAAGGCUCUUAGUUUCCUUUUUUCCUGAGCUUGUCUCUGCUACAAAACAUUGACUCCAAGCCCCACAUGAAGACAUUCUUGAAAAUUUCAGGUAUACACUGCCUCGCUGAGAGUUUGAUGAGUAGUUUGAUACCACCCUCAUGUCUGUGAUGUUAACAUAAAGUCAAAGUAUCAGAGGUUCGCUCAGCUGUGGUGCUGCUCUGACCCAAACCCAUUCUGAGUCCUAAUGAAAAGUCCAUUUGAAAGACGAGCUCUGCAGCCUCCUCCUCCUCUUCCUCCUCCUCUCCAGUGGGCUUAUAAAACAAGGGUCUACAUGUGGGGAUUGAGGCACACUUGUCCUCUUUUCUCAAAUAAGAUGAAAGAGACCGUGGCAAUGCAUCAGAUUAAGCAUUCACAGCUGCCAUUAGUGGUUGCGUGCAGGGGAAUCUCGACAGAAAUCACAUGAAACACCACAGCAAAUAGAAAGCACUGGAGGGGGGAAAUAGCACGCAGUCUGGAAGUGAAUUUCUGUCAUGGAGGAUCCUCAGAAAAUGGUCCCAGUUCAAGUCCGCUGGUCAGAAAUAGAGGAACAAUACAAUUUAAAUUUCAUAUGAUACUGUGGCACUACCAGCUGCUAUAAAAAGGCAGUAAUAGAUCACAUGAUGCUUAUUCUGCUGCAAGGCUCAAUAUGUCUAUGGCUACUUCAGCAGUAAUAGACUCAUGGGAAAUAAACUCAGCAGCUCCAUAACAGUUUCUACUCCACCCAUGGCAGUUUGUCGAAAUUACUCUCCAUUUUGAAAUAAGGUCAUUAUGGCCUGUUGUUAAGGGGCAGGAUGGAGCAUGUGUGGAGUAUGUGUGGAUUUAGUCUGAACGGAUUCAAUUUUGUAUGUAGUGGAUAAACAUCUCUGCAGGAAAUACACCAUGUUAAGUAAAGCUAGUGUGACAUAAAGCUGCUAUUUUGGUAUUUUUUAAUACAUAAUAUACCCAAAGAUUAUUAAAAUGAAAAACCACCUCCAACUCAGGGACUAUUCUCCUAAUAUACCGAGUUUUACUUACACCAAGCGGUAUAGAGAUUGCAUUUCUGGUCUGUACUAAGUUGCAUUACUUUGGUCUAAACUGAAAUAUCUCAGUAAUUAUGAAAGAGGUUAAUGUUUCAUUAUAUCUAGACCAGUUAUAUUUUAUUGUAAAAUUGUGUAAGACCUUUCUUCUCUGUCAAAAGUGAGCUGCACCCUUUAAACAGGGGCAACAGCAUACCAAUAUGAAGUUUGCAGAGGUACUCCAUUGUGUUACAGUAGUUUACCCAGAAGAUGGCGCUCAAAGGAGUAAGGGGCCAAUCCCCUGAAAAGAGUAUGCGGGAAUAUAUGCAGUCAACAAGAAUGAUUUAAGACCAUUUGGUUUAAUAUAUAGACUGUCAAGACCAUCUGACCCUGACCUUAUAUGAUUUGACUCAAUUUGAUCUUUUCUCUGCCAAACCUCAGUGAGCCUUAUAGGAUUUUAGUGUGGGCGUCAGAUUUAAGAAAAAUGUAUUCUUGCAGUCUAAAUAUUUUAAAGUUUGAGUCGAUUUCUUUAACAAAAUCCUCCGUAUGUGUUAGUCUCCUAAACAGUUUGACAGAACAUCCACUCAUCAUAAAUUAACAUAAAUUUUGAAGUUUCGUAAAGGUUGAAAUCUUGACUAAGACCUGUUUUUUUUUUGUUUUUUUUUUUUUACAUAAAGAAACUUUAAUUUUCCUGAACUUAUAUAUUUUUAAUUAGAAACAUCACAUACGCAUAUCUGAGACUGCACAGAAGACUUAUUUGGUUGGGGAAUAGGCGUUGUACAUUUGCCUCAAAUAAUCUUCUCCCCUGCACACCUGUGAGAAUUUUAGAGUAGCUAUUCAUUUCUUAUUUCCCGGCAACUUAGAAAUCAAUGAAUCCACAUUUCUGCAGCCCACCUUUUUGUGUGUAUUUUGUGCUGAAAUCAAUACAGCCUUAGUGAGCUUUGAAAGGUUGAUGAUGCAGAAACACAAUUGAUCCAUAAAACUCCUGAGUCCAAUCCAUACUGAACAAGGGGACAAACAUUUGGCUUCAUGCGUUCGGACACACACACACAGUUUAGACGCACAAUCCAUAUUUUGAAUCUGGUUGGUCGAGUAAAUACUUAAAUAAUAUAUAAAAGGUCAAUGAUAAUAAGAUGUUUUGUCAAUGUACAUUUAUUGAAGUAAUUGCUCUUCUUCCAGCUCUUCUCCAACAGUUUUCUCCUCUUCUACCCCAUCGGCUUUCUGUCUCUGUCUUGUAUCAGUAUUUCUAUCUAACAUGGAUCUACAGCCACGAGGCCGAGCUAAAUCCCUCAACACCCUAGUAUAAUUAAAUGUCUUAAUAACUUCUCUAACAGCCAAAUUCAAACAAUGUGAGCAAGCUUCAUCUGGAAGCAGAGUUGGUAUCACGUUAUAAAGUAAACAAGAAAAAAUCACUUGGUGCAGUCAGUACAAGCUCAAAAAUCUCACGGAUAUCCCAGCAUGAAUGAAAGCAUACACUAUGCUUUGAUUCAAUAUGGACAUCCUCUUAGCCUAAAAAUGCUACAAAGGGGUCAUAUGUUUUUUGUUUUGUUUGUGUAAAUAGCACUCUGUGUUUUCUCCUUUUUGUGGGCAUUGCUUUCCAGACAUUAAGGAAAACAUCUUUAAGAGUAAAACUUCGAAGCAGUCAAGCUUGAAUCAUUCCAACAUGCCAUGAAUUCUGGGGUCAUCCACCUACUGAUUUUUGGCCACUCAAUAUGUUAUAUGUAAAGUCAAGCCGAGCUGUGGUUGUAGCUCAAUAAGGCAAUUUAGUUUAGCUCUGAGACUUUUGUACAUACAAUAAGACAGCUUUAUCCGUCUUUACACCUCUUCUUUUUCUGCUGAGAUUUUCUUCACUAACUAGCAUCCCACAGUAUUAGUGCUGUUUCCAUUCCAUGACCUGUGUAGCAUGCUCAGAACACUCAGUUUCAGUCCCAUGACAGAUUAUACCUUUGUAAAUGAUCCCCAACUGCAUCAUCAAGG